GGACUCCGACCCAUUCGAGACGGAUCAAGUCGAUCUCAAGGAUUUAUGGACGUCCAGCGGUUACGAAACGGUAAGUACGCGCCACCAUCUGGAUACCGGCUUCGGCCCGGCCGUUCCAUAUUGACGCUUCUGCUUGUCUCUCAAUUGCCCUUUAAACCAUCGGUCUUUCCGCCCCUUCUCUAUCGUCCUCCAAUUCUUUAGGUAACGUUUUGGGCUGUCCGGAACUUUUUACCGUCAUCCAGCCGUGCGUUUACGAUUCGAUCGUUUCGGGGCUUUCAGUUUAACGGACUAGGGGAUCCCGCGGCCGGUUCGGUUAGAUCGGGAAAUCCGACAGAAUUUAAAUGGCACGGGCUUCCAGAAAUGACAGAUCGGCAUCCAGAAUCUCCAGGCCGAGAAUUCGUUAAUUCUUCCGACCUUAACCUCAAUAUUUUGCGCGUAUCACAAGGACCGGCCCACUGUAACUGAGUAAAUACUUGCGAAUUUAUCAAGGCCCGUCGAAUUUCCGGGUGUCGAUUAGUUUAAUGGAAAAAGAGUGGAAGUGGGUAUAUCCGGUUGCAUCUCGGCCAACGAGUUCUUCCAUAAACCUAUAUUAGCUUGUCCUAAUUCUUUGCAUGUGUUACGUCGUCAGUUUUGUAGCAGUCAAGGUCGUUGAGCCCGCUAAUGUCAAUGACUGUCACCGUGUGAUUUGCUUUUUUUUUUUUUUAGUAGGUUGGACCCAUUACUGUCUUCUCAUCGCGUUACGAAAGAAUAUCGAUCCCUUCGACUGUUUAUCGAUUUCGAUAAACCAAUGUUCGCAGUUUAUGACGAAUUACUGCUGUCAAAUGUUUCUCUCCCUUUUUUUACCAUUGGAAUGUAGGACAGCGACAAGGGACAUAUGUUAGCCUGUUAUCUGACGAACUUUAGACCUUGACAGCACGACUGAACGACUAGUACUCCAAAAACAAAGUAUGUGUUCGGUAUUCGAGAGGUUUUGGAAGAAACCGUACCACGGUUCGAAUUGCCGACUGUGGAUGGGAACUCUGGCCCAGUUCCUCGUUAAAACCGGGAGACCGACCCAGUUUCUAAUCCACAUCUUCCCCUCGCCCUACGCUUGGUUUGACAACUGGAUCAAAACAUCCCGUGCCGCGUGCGGUGGUCAUCGAUCCCAUCCGUUUUUUUUCUUUUAUACCGUAUGUGUUUAUACGCGCGUCCUUGCAAAGAAAUGAAGGCCUUCCUCGGAAAACGGGAAAUGGGGAAAGACAAGUCGAAUUUAACACGGUUUAUUCGCAGUCGAGAGAAGGGGACUGACUAGUUGCCGGCGCGGAUAAGAUAGCGCUAGGAAUUGUGGCUGUCCCGGAAGUGCGUGUUGGCCGAAAUGCUCUUUUCCUCCGCAUGGCACACGCGACAAGUGGCGGAUGAUGGCACGAAGAGCAGCCGAAGCGUAUCCCGUCAGGUUUGCAAGGAUCAGUGGCUUCCUUAGCUAUCCAAGGUCAGCCGUAGGUCCUCGGCACGGAGAGGCCAAUGACUCCGGUCCAUGAACUCGUGCGCAAUCGCUCGCCCGAGUUCGUAGCUCGUGUGUGUGUAUGUGUUCUUCUGUUUGUUGUCGAAUCACGGUGAGUUAUUUUGGGUUUUUUCGAAUCUUUCCAGUCAUCUACUUAAGAGUUAAAUUAGUUAACAUAUUCGGGAAAAUUGCGACUCUCUUGUGAAACCGAUUGAUCGACGCAAUAUGUUGUAACCGAACUUCGGCGAAGCAGUUGCCAGAAGCGUUUCUCCCAAGUCGGGAUUCCUGUUUUCGAGUUUCGAAAGAAGCCCUUACACGUUACUCUAAUGCAUUAACUGGUCAGUUAGAGUUCGAAUUUCUUUUAAUUACGAUAAUAUCUUUUCUUUUAUCAACUAUACGAAGUAAAGUCCGAAUCUUAAAUUACAGAAAGUAGUGCUUCACCCAAAAAAAAAGUCGUGUUCUGGAAUGCAUCCAUUAACUAAUUCGUAGCCCGAAUGAAUUUUUUCUUCGAAUUUUGGAUUCGAUUCCGAUAUCGGAAUUGAUAUCGAAAGGCGCGUGUGGCAGUAGACGUACAAAAAUAAAAGAAUUUGGACGGAUGUAAAAGUGGUAGGAUAAGAUAGGCCCAAUGCCACCAGAACGAUUGGGAGACUACUACGGCGAAGGUUAAGGUCAGGGUCAAAGUAGAAAGUCGCUGUUUGUCGAUCGCGCCUCGUACUCUUUCUUAGAAAAGUCGACUUUCUCGCCAAGAAAAAAAGAAAAAAUUCUCGCCGGUUUGGUGUGUAUCAUUUAAUGUAUAAGCGAUCUCUACGUUUAAGAAUAAAGAGAUAUAUUUUACCAUAUAAUUUAGUUCGUAUCAAUCAAUUCGACAUAAUAUUUGCCUCACGAAUAAACGAAAUUCGAGAAUCAAGAUAUUUAAGCGUGAAAAAUUGCAAGAGCGUAGGAAAUUAUAUAUAAUUUCCUACGAGUUAUUCCUAUAUGUAUACAGUAUACCCCCUAAAAUUAUAAAUGGUUUAUGUUUAAAGAACGGAUAUUAUUAUUAUUUAUCUGAUAUACAUUGUUUUCGGAGAUAUAAUCGACUAACACGGCAGCAUUUCUCAAACUGGAUGGCAGUUUUAGAGACCGCAAAUUCAUAAUUUUAAGAGUCACGAACAUCGGAAAGAUCGAAAAUUUUUGUACAACUCAAUGAAUCGCUAUUAAGACGCUCGAAACGUUUCUUUAAACUUUUAUAUAAAUUAAUUGUUUGAAUUAUAUAUUAAAGUAAAUCCAGUUUAGAAAAUAAAGGAGAGAGUGUUUAUCUAAAAUCACGACUAAAUUAGAAAUUCUAAUUAUUUUUGCUGAUAGCUGCGGCGGACGGUAGAAAAUAACAGUUGCGAUGCUAUUCUCCCAUGUUUGUUUGUUGUAACUAUAAACAAUAAUAUUGAUGAAGUUCGUGUUAAAAAAAAAAUUUAAAUUUGUUUUUUAAAAUAACCUCCUCUUGUUUGUAAAUCACGAAUUCUGUAAAAUACACAAUUAAUAGAAAUUCG
rnacentral:lncRNA from 1 species